rnacentral:rRNA from 1 species
UAGGGAAUCUUCCGCAAUGGGCGAAAGCCUGACGGAGCAACGCCGCGUGAGUGAUGAAGGUCUUCGGAUCGUAAAACUCUGUUAUUAGGGAAGAACAAAUGUGUAAGUAACUAUGCACGUCUUGACGGUACCUAAUCAGAAAGCCACGGCUAACUACGUGCCAGCAGCCGCGGUAAUACGUAGGUGGCAAGCGUUAUCCGGAAUUAUUGGGCGUAAAGCGCGCGUAGGCGGUUUUUUAAGUCUGAUGUGAAAGCCCACGGCUCAACCGUGGAGGGUCAUUGGAAACUGGAAAACUUGAGUGCAGAAGAGGAAAGUGGAAUUCCAUGUGUAGCGGUGAAAUGCGCAGAGAUAUGGAGGAACACCAGUGGCGAAGGCGACUUUCUGGUCUGUAACUGACGCUGAUGUGCGAAAGCGUGGGGAUCAAACUGG